rnacentral:lncRNA from 1 species
GCCCCGCAGCCAAGUUAGCCAAAGCAGCCCAGGGCCGCCGCCCAGCGCCCCCGAGCCCCGAGGAGAGCCGUCGCGACCGGGGGCUGCCUGGGCAAGGGCGGGGCGAGAGGGCAGAACGCCUGCUCUCGGACAGGUAUUGGGCGAGGUGGGGGGAGAAAGGCAGGACUGGACGCUUGGGUGAGGGCCCGUGGAUGCAGCGGGGCGAGCCGCUUCUGCUCUGGAUCGUGGGGGGGGCUAGUCCCUCGAGGGCGGAGUGUGGGCGUCGCGGCAUGGAAAAGGUUAAAUGGGAGCGUGACGCGCGGCCGGUGGAGACUGCUCUUCGCCCACCUCCAGGACAGAUAAAGUUAUUCCUCUUCCCCUCUUCUGAGUCCUCUGCGCUUUCGGUUUGCUUGGCGCUGAUGUUAUCCCUCUUCUAAACCUAGAGCAGAUGUUUGGUUUUUUCCUUUCUUCCCCCUUUCCUAGGACUCAUGGAACUACAUCUUAUGCUGGUGUUCUUAAAAUACACCGGAAAGAACGGAGGUAAAAAUACUGGAGUGUUUCCUCCACACUGGAAAGAGAUCUGGGGACCCUUCACCUGCCUCUACUACUGCAAAUGAUUGGAUAUUCGUCUGACUUGGCUCUUCCCUAAUGUGUGGAACUAAUUUUGUUCACUCUGUUUCAUGCUGGACCUGGCCUGAAAAUGGGCCCUUAUAUUGUCUUUGCACUUUCCAACUUGCCAAGUUUCUGAAAGAAGGACCAAAGUAAUGCCAAGAACUCCCAGAUGAAGAGGACCUUCCUUAGACCUAUAACAGAUUCACUACUUGACUUCAGAGGGAAGUUUCAGCUAAUUCUCAGGAAAAGGUCAAAACAGGCCUGUGACUGUCCCUUGAAUACUGAAGGUAUAAACAAGCUUCUGGCUCCUCCAGGUCAAGCAGAGGAACACUUUUAUUAGAAUGAAGGGUUACUUCUUUGUUAUUCAAACACACACCCACACACAUCCUCUGUAGUCUCCCUAAUGAAAAACCUCAACAGAUGGAGAGCCUGAGCUCCCAAGUCCGCAGGCUGAGAAGAUGCACUUCACUCAAGGGCCAGUGGGCUGGUACAGACUAGGGAAGAGAAAAGGGACAAAGGCUGCUAGUAUAGGUAAUCACUAUCUUUUAAUACUCCUAACACAUAGAAAUUCGAAAAAUCUUGUUCAGCAAUGUUAGCAGCCUGUGAGCCUCGGAAACUAAUUUGGCUGAUGUGUCU